rnacentral:rRNA from 1 species
GAUGAACGCUGGCGGCGUGCCUAAUACAUGCAAGUCGAGCGAAUGGAUUAAGAGCUUGCUCUUAUGAAGUUAGCGGCGGACGGGUGAGUAACACGUGGGUAACCUGCCCAUAAGACUGGGAUAACUCCGGGAAACCGGGGCUAAUACCGGAUAACAUUUUGAACCGCAUGGUUCGAAAUUGAAAGGCGGCUUCGGCUGUCACUUAUGGAUGGACCCGCGUCGCAUUAGCUAGUUGGUGAGGUAACGGCUCACCAAGGCAACGAUGCGUAGCCGGCCUGGGAGGGGGAUCGGCCACACUGGGACUGAGACACGGCCCAGACGCCUACGGGAGGCAGCAGUAGGGAAUCUUCCGCAAUGGACGAAAGUCUGACGGAGCAACGCCGCGUGAGUGAUGUAGGCUUUCGGGUCGUAAAACUCUGUUGUUAGGGAAGAACAAGUGCUAGUUGAAUAAGCUGGCACCUUGACGGUACCUAACCAGAAAGCCACGGCUAACUACGUGCCAGCCGCCGCGGUAA